GUUCUAAAUGCAUGCUUAAUUUAAGAACACCUGCAAACAGCCCUGUCCUUGGCUCCUUGCUACUAAUGGAGAGGGCAACACCUCACACACAAACAGUAAGAUAGACUUCGGAGACACUACAUGUUGAACAGGCAGAACUUGUCCAAACAGACUCAUGUGAUGGGAACAUUAUGAAAAAAAUGUUGAGCCAUAAGGUGACUACCUGGUAGAGCCUGACCUUCUCUUAACAGAACCCCACUGAGCAGUCCUACAAUAUAAAACAAUCAUGAACAUCAACUCAUGGCCCAUAAAGAACAUGGUCAACAUGAAAAUUUAUUCAUUUUCUGCAACAGAUAUAUAGCCUAUUAUACCAAGUAUACAAAGCAUUUCAAGGGGGUACAUUCCCAAAGCGCAUGAACAUGCUUGCUUUUAUAGCCAAGCAACUCAUUUUUUUCCUCAGCUACGUGCACCCCAUUCACAAAACUAAAUUAACAAUUCAUAACCCCAAUGUCAUCCAUAUAUAAUUGGCCACCAGCAGCAGAUAACACAAAAAACAAAACAAAAUAAAAAUAAUAACCAAGCAAGGUUAAUUGAAUCACCGAUAUGGUUACAUUUAACCAUUACAAAAAGAAAGAAAUAUGUACCUUCACAGUUGAUUGCAAGAUAAUAGCCCAAUCAUUCUACAAUAUCUUCUCCAAGGAAUUAUUUCCCUCUCGCUCGCUCCUUCAACGUAGUGCUUAUUGCAAUCAAAUUAAACAAGCAGUACUUGUUACUAAUCUCGCCUUCACUUAUUCUAACAAAUAAACACGACCGACACUCCUAAGCAAAUUACCAUUGCCAUACUGUUGCAAACAAAAAUAAACAUUUUUUUUCUUUUUAAUUACCUGCUGCCUCCGUUCCAGCGGCACAACAAUAGAUCAAGUGCACGUGAGAAAUUGACUCUGUUCUAAGGCAAAUUGAUGUGUCUAAUUGCUAAACUUCCACAACCACCCAAUAUCUUUUCCAGUUGGUUCCCGUUGUCAUGUAUCCGCCGUGAAUUUUACCUGCAUCGUUUCUGCCUUUAUCGGGAGAUACCAAAACUUUAAACUUCACAAUAGCAAUUUCUAGGGGAAAUUGAUCGUCAUUUCUGGGGGUGAAAAAGAAUUCAAUUAUCGGAUUUUCUGGGGGAGGAAACGAUUUUGAUGAUCUUAAUUCCUUAUUGGGGUGUGAAAAAUCUUUUGAUGAAGGCCUCUGGUGGACGCUUAUUUAACAUUUUUU
rnacentral:lncRNA from 1 species